UACGUAGGGAGCAAGCGUUGUUCGGAUUUACUGGGCGUAAAGGGCGCGUAGGCGGCACUGUUAGUCAGGCGUGAAAGUCCUGGGCUCAACCUGGGAACUGCGCUUGAUACGGCAGAGCUAGAGGAUGGAAGAGGGUCGCGGAAUUCCCAGUGUAGAGGUGAAAUUCGUAGAUAUUGGGAAGAACACCGGUGGCGAAGGCGGCGACCUGGUCCAUUACUGACGCUGAGGCGCGACAGCGUGGGGAGCAAACAGG
rnacentral:rRNA from 1 species